CAUGCAAGUCGAGCGGAAACGAUGGGAAGCUUGCUUCCAGGCGUCGAGCGGCGGANNGGUGAGUAAUGCAUAGGAAUCUGCCCGAUAGUGGGGGGAUAACGUGGGGAAACCCACGCUAAUACCGCAUACGUCCUACGGGAGAAAGCAGGGGAUCUUCGGACCUUGCGCUAUCGGAUGAGCCUAUGUCGGAUUAGCUAGUUGGUGAGGUAAUGGCUCACCAAGGCGACGAUCCGUAGCUGGUCUGAGAGGAUGAUCAGCCACACUGGGACUGAGACACGGCCCAGACUCCUACGGGAGGCAGCAGUGGGGAAUAUUGGACAAUGGGGGAAACCCUGAUCCAGCCAUGCCGCGUGUGUGAAGAAGGCCUUCGGGUUGUAAAGCACUUUCAGCGAGGAAGAAGGCCUGAGGGUUAAUACCCUUCAGGAAGGACAUCACUCGCAGAAGAAGCACCGGCUAACUCCGUGCCAGCAGCCGCGGUAAUACGGAGGGUGCGAGCGUUAAUCGGAAUUACUGGGCGUAAAGCGCGCGUAGGUGGCUUGAUAAGCCGGUUGUGAAAGCCCCGGGCUCAACCUGGGAACGGCAUCCGGAACUGUCAGGCUAGAGUGCAGGAGAGGAAGGUAGAAUUCCCGGUGUAGCGGUGAAAUGCGUAGAGAUCGGGAGGAAUACCAGUGGCGAAGGCGGCCUUCUGGACUGACACUGACACUGAGGUGCGAAAGCGUGGGUAGCAAACAGGAUUAGAUACCCUGGUAGUCCACGCCGUAAACGAUGUCGACUAGCCGUUGGGUUCCUUGAGAACUUUGUGGCGCAGUUAACGCGAUAAGUCGACCGCCUGGGGAGUACGGCCGCAAGGUUAAAACUCAAAUGAAUUGACGGGGGCCCGCACAAGCGGUGGAGCAUGUGGUUUAAUUCGAUGCAACGCGAAGAACCUUACCUACCCUUGACAUCGUGCGAACUUGGUAGAGAUACCUUGGUGCCUUCGGGAACGCACAGACAGGUGCUGCAUGGCUGUCGUCAGCUCGUGUUGUGAAAUGUUGGGUUAAGUCCCGUAACGAGCGCAACCCUUGUCCCUAUUUGCCAGCGAUUCGGUCGGGAACUCUAGGGAGACUGCCGGUGACAAACCGGAGGAAGGUGGGGACGACGUCAAGUCAUCAUGGCCCUUACGGGUAGGNCUACACNCGUGCUACAAUGGUCGGUACAAAGGGNUGCNAUGCCGCGAGGUGGAGCUAAUCCCAUAAANCCGANCUCAGUCCGGAUCGGAGUCNGCAACUCGACUCCNUGAAGUCCGGAAUCGCUAGUAAUCGUNAANCAGAAUGUCACGGUGAAUACGUUCCCGGGCCUUGCAC
rnacentral:rRNA from 1 species